rnacentral:lncRNA from 1 species
AGCUCAUCACUACGUGCAUCGGUUGUAUAAUGAGUUGCCCGACCAAAAUAUGCUCAAGUCGUGGGACAUUGGAGCAAAACAAACAAAUCCCGUAGUGUCAUGUCAACCGUCAGUAGCCGGCUUGUCGAGUACUACCAGAGCUUCUCCUUCGUGCAGAGGGGCAAUGAUGGCGUGCUCAUCAUCCGCACCAGUUACCUCUAGAGCUUCUCGUCCAUGUGGAGAGGCAAAGAUGGCACACUUGUUGUACAACCUUGAGAAGAAGAUUGACCAUGAACUUGGGAGGGAGCACAGGCAAGGUGUAAUGCUGCCUCCGCAACCACACCCCACACCAGCACCAGACGCCAAAUGACGAGCAUGAUGCGACUUACACGCAUGAGUCUACACGAAGAUGACCUCUUCCUUGUAAAGUGAAGGCAACCAUGAGGACUUCAAUGUUGUUACACCUAUGUAACCAAAGUAGAUAAGAUCAGACUCGAGUAUUAGGGUAGGGCCACGACUAGCCCUAGACGUGACCCAAAAUACUUUUUAUUGUAUGUGUAAAUUUCUAGCCCUAGACGUGACCCAAAAUACUUUUUAUUCUAUGUAUAAAUUUCUGACCCAGUUUAAUAUGGCUCUAGGCG